AGAAAACACAUUUCCGUUCACCUGAACUCCUUCUGAAAACCAGAAGUCUACAAGUCUACAAAAAAUACAAAACAAGAUGAAACACGCUUGCCCAAUGAAUAAAUAGCAGCUGAGCAAUUUCAGCCAAUCGGGAUGCAUCCCAGCAGUGUUGCUCGAGCAAUGUCUGCAUGAGUGGAAGGGACAGAGAGAGAUAGAGCGAGAAGUAGAGGGUGAGGGACAGGGAGAGAGCGAAUGACUCGCGGCAGCUGUCAGCCAAUUGGAGCGCUCGAUACGCAAUUCGGAGGCGUGUGCAACGGCCUCUGUGGCACUUGCGAAGCACAUGCGCACUGGCCAAGCAACAGCCCUCUAGGAGGGGACUUGGACACCCUGCCCCUAAUUUGCACAUAACACGUAUUUUGUAUUUUGAAUUCAACGAACUGUGAAUAUUGCUUUUAAUUUAAUUAACUUUCCCCGACAAAAUUGCGGCAUGCAAAUUAAAUGAAGCCUUUGGACAAGGGACAAGGGUGUAAAUACACGCCUGAUGUAUGUAUAUGGCAUCGGAGUGAGAGACAGAGACAGAGAGAGAGAGAGAGAGAGAGAUGUUUGUAGGAGUAGCACGUGGCUCAAACUAUUGCAUAAGCUGCAUAAUUGGCAAUCCCACACAAGUUAAUGCCCUUACGCAUUCUCAUGUAGCCCGAUUCACCCCACUUCUCUCCCCACCAAUUCUUAAGGAUCCAGUAGUCUUUAUCAUAUCCAAUCAGCAGCAUCGCAUGAUUAACCGAAGUCGAACUGCACGUGACAUCAUCGUAAAUUCCGUCGCUGCAAGGAGAGAAAAGAAGAAAAUAGCAGAGGGCCAGACACGAAUGAAAUCGACUCAACAUAUUGCUCGAUUCAACAUAUUUCUAAUAAACCUAGCCAUGUGUAUGUGGUAUGUGUAUGUGUAUGAGUAAAAACACAACUAGAGUA